rfam:Dipodomys ordii contig_17859, whole genome shotgun sequence.
GGGAAAGUGGCUCAGUGGUAGAGUGCUUGCCUUGCAUGCAUGAGGCCCUGGGUUCAAUUCCUCAGUACCA